rnacentral:rRNA from 1 species
UACGGAGGGUGCGAGCGUUGUCCGGAAUCACUGGGCGUAAAGGGCGCGUAGGCGGCCGUGUAAGUCACUUGUGAAAUCCCCGGGGCUCAACCCCGGGGCUGCAGGUGAGACUGCGUGGCUAGAGCACGGUAGAGGCGAGUGGAAUUCCCGGUGUAGCGGUGGAAUGCGUAGAUAUCGGGAAGAACACCUGGUGGCGAAGGCGGGUCUCUGGGCCGAUACUGACGCUGAGGAGCGAAAGCGUGGGGAGCGAACAGG